UGCAAUCUAAGAAAAAAAUGUUGUGUAAUAGAGGAGGCUUUCUCUUUUCAUUUCUCUCCCCCCACCCCCAUUGGCAUGGGGUGAGGGGCAAUGCAAUCCACACUCCUCCCAUAUGCGUCAACUUUCAUGUCUGUUUUACUGUUAUCUAUUCCAUUAAGAUUGUGAUUAAUGAAAGCUUCCCAAAUUUUAAAUAUUUUGAAAACUAGCCAAUGCCUGCUUGUUAGAGGCUACAUUGCAAACAAAUAGCAAUAAAAAUAAGGUGAUACAGGCUUUUGAAGUCUUCAGAGAAAUCAUCACUGUGAUCUUUGUACCACUGCUGCGGAAAAGAAGACAACAUUUCUGACAUUGUUAAUGACAACACGGCAGCUGAAAGAAAGCCCGGGUUUCUGGGACUAGCAUUAGGAUACAGAACUCCUGCUGAGCUCACCAGCUCCUUGCUUCGCACAGCUGCCUUCUCAGCUGGGGGUUUGAAAUCAGCACUGUGAGAAAAGACAGAAAUGACCAUGAUGCAUGUUCCUCACUAUAAGAAAAAGCAACAUGCAUUCCAUGAACUGGAGACCUGAUAAGUACUGAAAAUGAGAGGUUCUUGCUUUCUUUGAAGCAACAUAAUAUUUCUGAGUAGAAGAUGAGUCCAAAACAAACAGAGAUGCAUUUUCUCCACAUGAUGGAAGCAGUUAUUCCUGUUGCCAAGGAAACCUCCUCACUCAGCAAGGGUCCACCUUUGGAAACAAUUGCAAGACUUCUAAAACAGAUCAAUAAAGAAUGCUAAGACCUCUACUUCCUAACUAA